UUGUAUAGGCCUAUGCCCUGCAGGGUCAAGACAUCAAAUCUUAUUCUCACUCCAUAUUAAGAUAACAAACAUAUUUCAAUCAAUAAUCUUUAUUCUCUUAAUAGAAACUAGCCCCACCAGUUUCUAACUAAUACACACUAACAUGACACAGCCCCUCGUCUGUCCGAUGGGCUAUGUGCUUACAUUUUAAACCGUGUGUAGUAGGCAUACAGGGUUAUCUUGAAAUACAUAUUUUUUGCUCGUUAACGUAGUUAUAUCUCUGAGAGGACAUGUCAAACGUAAUUUCGGGUUUUCAUGGUGAUGCUUUCGAUCAAUUGUUAAAUAGUCAAGCUAACGCCUUGAAUAAUCCCAGUCCAGUACGCUGUGAUGAUGAAAUAGGAUAUUAUAAGUGCAUGGAAAGGUCAAGGAUGGCAACAGCAAAACUCCCCAAGAAUCCUGAAUGAGCCCUCGAACUGUUGAAAGUAAGGCGACAGCCAAUCAUCGAGGGAGUUCAAGAUCAAGUGAUAAUAGGUAGUCUUUAUGGUAGUCGCUCAUCGCUUGGGCUGAGAUAGGAUCCUGAAUUGUAGCUUUAUCCUUUUCCACCAGCACGCAGAUUCUGGUAUCACUUCCUAUGAGCGAGGAGAAUAAUACAUUUACAAGAAAAACAAGGAGAAAAACUGAUAUAUUUCUAUCAACAGUCCCGACCUCUCCCUCGCCGCUAAACCGAUGUAACAUUAACUUAUAUGUUCCCCUCUCUGGCCAAUAAAACUCAUCACGGUCCAGACGUCCGGUCGUGAGUUGAUUACGCCCUGGAACGAGGUUGAUCAAGCCCUAUGUAAUUACUCGUUUGUUACGCAUCCUAUUCAGAAUUUGGGGAUGGCACAUCAGUAAAAAUAAUUUGAUGACAGCGGCAUUCCCUUUCUGGUAAAGGGCGCAUGUGAGAACCAAUCAAAGCACAUUUUGACUACGGCAUUAUUAAAUAUUGAAAGUCCCUCCAGAUGAUUGGCAGCUGUCGGCGUUACUAAUUAUACCUAACCGACUUCCUCAAAAAAAGUGAAUUGCAGUUUUUUAUAAUGGCUCAAUUAUAUGCAGAGUAGAAGUUAAAGUACUUUGACCUAGUCAUUUGAAGUCAUUGCCAUGUCCACACGGUGGCCAAAUAGCGUGUUCACCAAUGUACACAUAUUCUGCCAUCAGAGUUGCUUGUUGUCCAAUGAGUAGCCCUUUUGAACUCACCAAGUUCCGGUAAACAAACCUUCAUAAGAUCCCUGAUCAAGUCAUGCACUCUUAUGAGUUCAACAUAAGGAGCAAUAAAGGGAUCCAGCUCAUGAUAGUAAAAGGAGAAGGAUGCAAGCACUUCUUCACUGUCACAGUUUCAACACUUUGACGCACAAAUCCUGAACGCCAUCCUGAAACAAGUUUUCUUCCCAUACUUUCAAUAGACCCAUUCAAGACAUUUAAAUUACACCAGCUAUGGUAUCUGCAUCUGGAAGGCCAUGUUUUGAAUGCCAACACAAUAAUAUCCAAGUCUCCGGGUCAAUGUGUGUUAGUAAUAUCAACUCAAGAGCCAAUAUCACCAAGAUAGUAGAUGAUAAAAUAGCAAGAAGGAUGACCAGGACAUGUAGCAAAAGGGAUGUUUAAUGAUGUUUGGACAAUGAGACGUACAUGUCCAUUGCUGAUGAAAUACAAAUACAACUGAAUAAAAUAAAUAUCUGGCGUCAUGAUCCCAGCAUUUCCAUAUCUGAAAUCAAUUGAAAUGUAAAAUCUAAAAAAAAUGGGAGUGCAGUUUUUGUGUUUGCAAACUAGCAUUCGUGGGAGAAGUUUGAGAUGAAAUUAUUUGUUAUUGUAAGAAAAUGUUUAGAUAUAUCCCCACGACUGACAUAACAAUGAGACAAAUCUGCGAAAACACAUUUGAAACAAGGUGUUUCCAAUGUGAAAUAUACUUUUACAUUGCAGUGCGUGUAUUGUGGUUGAGAUAGUAUAGAGAACUGCAGUGAAUUGACAAAUGUGUAAAUAAAAAUAAAAGGUGCUCAAAUGGAGCAGUACUACAGUUUCCUCAUAAAAAGCAAUAAUUGAAUAAACCUUCACUUGAAAAUAACCUUUUGGUGACUUUGAAAUGUCGACAACUGAAUAAAUUACUCUUCAAGCUCUGUGCCACUAUAUGCACACAAGCCGAGCCUCUACAGCACCAUCAGAUUUAAAUAUAGACGCCUGUUGGACACAAGUCAUGGAAAAAAAAAACAUAAUGAAAAAAAACAAAAGUACCAUAGUUGUUCCAUGUCAACAGUGCAUGUCAACAGUGCAUGUCUGGACAGGGAAGGGAAGCUAUGCUGCUAGAAAGGAGACUGAGUGACCAAAUUGUUCUUCUUCAGUUGGAGCAGUAAGGCAGGUAAAGCCCAAUGCGCUCACAUGUUACUGCAGUAAACCAAAACCAUUGGUUCUUCAUGCCUAGUUAUUGUUUGUACAACUUCAGAGUAGUGGUUAUAAUACAUCAAUAUUUGUAUUUUCCUUAAUGGUUUGUGACGUUUAUAUAAGUGCUUACCCUGAGAAUUUUAUCAAUGUUUAAAAACCUCAGUACCAGAAGAAGAGAAAGGGAAGUUUUUAAAAUAAUAAUGCAACCUAACUGAAGAGGUCCCAUCAAACUAAUUAAGAGUGGGCAUGUAAUAUUACACAUAUCCAUAGCUACGUUGAAUGUACAUUUUUCAUUACAUUUUUAUUGCUAAACUAAGUUAGAUUUCCUUUCCAGGAGCAAGUGGAUGCCCAGCCGAGAAGCAUACUACUGCAGUGUGGUGGGAGAGGGAAUGCUAAAGUGGUGAUGGAUUUGGUCCCCUACAUCACAUGGGGAUGCAGUGUCAAAGUAGAAUGAUCAGGGGUACAAAAGAAAGUAAAGUGAAUGGAAAGGUGGCAUCAAAAUUCAGAUGAACAUUAAAAUGCAUCCAUUUACUGCAUUCUCUGGAGUGCACAACACCGACGCCUCAGUCGUUUCUCAUAUCCCGUUAGAAAAGAAAAGGAGAAAAUAUGAAAAAAAAAAAAAAUAAGACUUUGAACGAAAUGACUUGCACAUACACAAGCAGCAUUGUAGUGUGCGUGUUGUGUGCGUGUGUGUGUGAGAAAGUGGAGUGAAUGAUUGCAUCGAGAGCUAAAAUAUGACAGCACAUGUACUCUGUCUAUAAAAAACUACCUGGGUACUCAACACGGACCUCUUUCUAAACAAAUAAUCUGCUGUAGAACAUUUACAAAAUGAACAUGGCAACAACCAGAGAGUGAUCCUCACAACAACAUAUGCUACCGGCGUCCUCUGGUUCCUGGUGGAUGGUGGUGGUUGUCGUCGUUCUUUGUCUACUGCUAAAGAGUAAAGUCGUAUCAUACAGACCUAGUAAGUAAGUUAUUACACGGUGAAGCUUACGCACGACACACACACACACACACACACACACACACCGCGUUGGAUGGGGUGGCAGCUAGGCCUAUUACAAAGAGAGAAUAGGAAGACUUAUGCAGACAGCGAGUACACCUGCGUGUGCGUCCUGAGUGUGUGUGUGGUGUGAGGGGGGCGGGGGGGGCGGGGUUGGGGUGGCGGUAGCUAGGCUCGUAAACCAGGCAGGACUUGCCUACUGAAGACUCGGGUCCAAGGGGGGAGGUUGGAGGGUGGAGGGGGGAGGGUGGAGGUGUCAGCGUAAACUUCUGGUACAACCAAGAGGUUUGUUCAGCUCACAAGGAAAAAGGAAGAACAAAACGAUAAAAAGACGGGAGGGGAGGUUGGAGUCGCUCUCCAAGAUAGAAGUAAGACAGUCUUGAUAUAAUUUUGGGAGAGAAUAAUUAUUAUUAUUAUACGCUCAAUAUUAAUAACAAUAAUAACAUUAGAUUUAAA